UAAUGGGAUUUUCCAGGGCCCAGGACCAGGGAAUCCAAGACAAGGCAAGUCCUGGAGAAUAAAGCUGGGGCUGGGUGCCAGUAUGUUAGGGACACACCUCCACAGCUGGCAUACAGCUUGCUGGGAUCGACCUGCAGAGUCUGUUCACGGAUGUUCAUGGGAAGGUGAAUGAAGUCAGAAGUGGGCCCCAGGGAAGGCACCAAACACCUGGAGAUGGCGUGGAAAAGAAAGGGAAUUUAAAUGGAAAAAAGUAACCAGCUUCUAAUAACCAUAUGCAGUUCAGACUGAGGUGGCGGCUACUGUGAAUAAUUCCUCAAUGAACAUUAGCAUGCAUUUUACUGUGCAGGAGUAAUUUAGAGCAACAGGUCUGGACCUCUCCUCUGAAGGGAAAUCCCUCAAGGUCCUGAAGAUCUUGUCCAUUCUGAAACAGACCCAGGGCAGUAAAUGACUGAGGCUGAAGGAAUUUGCAUCCAUUGGGUUAAUCUGGCAGUCCAAAUGCCCCAAGAAAGCCAAACGAUCAUCCAUGGUACCAUCACUCUGACCAAGCCACCUUAAUUCCUGUGGGAUGAGGCAACUGAAGGGAGAACAAAAUCAAUAAGCACUUUGUUCUUGCCAGACACUGCUGCUAACGGCUGAUGUGGAUAACUGCUGUACCUCUGCUAAGAGCUGCACUUCUAUGGGCAACUUUGCUAAAGCCAUCUUUGAUGCCAUCUCCAAGUCCUGCAGCUAUCAGACCCUGAACUCUGCAAAGAGACCAUAUUCAUCAAGUUUACCUCUCAGAGAUUUACUGAUCAUAAAGACUCCACGACAGUGCAAAGAACCCAUAGAACCCUUCUGUGGCUACCGUGUCCGGUUCUUACAGCACCAGCAAGAGUAAAGAGUGAGAGAGAGAUGACGGAGAUCUGAGUAAUCUGAACUACUGGUAGUAGUAGUAGUGACAGAGAGGAGGCAAGACUGACAUAUACAAGAAGGAGAAAUCAGAGGACUUCAUGACUGAGUGAAGGUGGGAAGUAAGAGGGAGGGAGAAGUUGAAAAUGACUCCUUUGGGCUUUGGCUCCUGAAAGGUCUUUCAGAAUGAUAAGAAAAGUAGGAUAUGGGGCCACUUUUCAAGGGAUUACACAUAGUUAAGUUUUUGGACAUACAGAAUUUAAGAUGGUUGAGGGACAUCCACAAAGAUCAGUAGGUAGUUGGAUACUACAGCUUUUAAAUUCAGGCAACAGAACUGGGCUGAAGGUACAGAUAGUCAGAGAGUGGGUGGGGUGGGUGGACAUGAGUAUAAGAUGGUAAAUGAAGCUGUGGAGGAGAAUGAGAUGACUCAGGGAGAGUGUGUAGAGGUGAGAAGAGAAGUGAGCCAAAGAUAACGAUUCUCUAGCCAAAUGGUAGAGAAUAUGUAUUAAGAAGUAGAUAGAAUAGCAGAAGACUCCAAAGAAAUACCCAUAAAAUAUGUUAAAAACCAAAACAGGGCAUCAAUGUAGAAGCUAAGAGAAGAGAAAGUUUCAAGAAGAAUUGUUAGUUGUGCCUAUGAUUUAUUUGAAGCUAAAGCUUUGAAGUAACAGGACCCCCGAUUCUUUUGUUUUUGUUUCUGUUUUUUGGCCACUCCACUGGCUUGCAGGAUCUUAGUUGUUCUCCGACCAGGAGUUGAACCUGGGCCCUCAGCAGUGAAAGCGCCGAGUUCUAACCACUGGAACACCACGGAAUUCCCUAGGACCCCUGAUUCUAAUUUGUUUCUAUGGAAAGCACCCUUGGCUUUAUAAUGAUCCAUUUUUUGAUGCAGUUCCCAAGAAUGUGUUCUGGGAAAAACAGGAGCCUACAUAGACUCGCUUUUUAAUUGAUAAAUUCUGUUUAUUGAUAAACUAAUAAAUUACACAUGUUUAUA